AUCUUCUAUCACCCUCUCUCUAUUAUUCUCAAACCCACCCAAUUCACUCAACUCUCCCCUCACCCUCUCUUUCUAUCCCUACUCCGAGUCUCCUCCCUUGAUCUCUCCUCCUUGAAUCUCCUUUCAUCUCUCGUCUCAGACCUUAAUCUCGAGCCCAAGCUCCCACCUCAAACCUCAAUCUCGAGCCCAGGCUCCCAAAUCAUGGCCUGCGCGGAAGCCGUCCAGUUGAACAACUUUAACCUCACCAAAGCUCUGGUGACCCAUAUCGGCUACCUAGCAGGUUCAACUCGGUCUUCGAGUUGUACAAGCUACUUGCCUAACUCGACCCCAUUUGACUCGUUGGAGGGGUCGGCGAACAACCAUAAUAAGGUGAUGUCGGAGGUUUAUUUGGGAAAGCAAAUCUGCAACGUGGUGGCGUGCGAAGGGUUGGACCGGGUGGAGAGGCACGAUCACCAUCAUGACUUCCUCUCCUAACUCUCCAUCAUGGCAUCCCUAGGGUGGAGGUCUUGGAUCCGUGGGGAAGAUGACGUCUCUGGUUCGAUUUGUGCAUCAAGGUCAAUGAGAAAUGCUUGAAGACGAUGUCUCUGGUUCGAUCUGUGAGGAAUACGACAUCUAUGGUUCUCAUAGGGAUUCAAUUUUAUUUUAUUUUUUUAUGAAUUCGAAAUUGUAUUUGAAGAUUUUGUAUGGGAGGUGCUUGAUGGAACUGGCAGGGAUCUCUGGGGUUGUGAAUUUUAGGGUUAAAGUUUUGCCCUCCAAAAGGGUCACGAAUAGGUUGUAGGUGUUGGAUUUGGCGAUGGUGGAUACUAGGAAUCUGUAAUUCUGGUUACUGAAAAUUAGAAAAGAAAAAAAAAUGUACUCGUAAAAACCGGGUUCGGUCCGGUUCUAUGUUUUAAAAUAGUAAAAUCUGCCCAGCCCGGCCUACUGUACUUUCAAGCGGGUCUGGUCCCUCCAA